rnacentral:rRNA from 1 species
UACGAAUGGGGCAAGCGUUGUUCGGAAUCACUGGGCUUAAAGCGUGCGUAGGUGGACUUGCAAGUCAGAAGUGAAAUCCCCGGGCUUAACCCGGGAACUGCUUUUGAAACUGCAAGUCUAGAAUCCGGGAGAGGUUAGUGGAAUUCCUAGUGUAGAGGUGAAAUUCGCAGAUAUUAGGAGGAACACCAGUGGCGAAGGCGACUAACUGGACCGGUAUUGACACUGAGGCACGAAAGCGUGGGUAGCAAACAGG